rnacentral:rRNA from 1 species
CUACGGAGGGGGUUAGCGUUGUUCGGAAUUACUGGGCGUAAAGCACACGUAGGCGGACUGGAAAGUUGGGGGUGAAAUCCCGGGGCUCAACCCCGGAACUGCCUCCAAAACUUCCAAUCUAGAGAUCGAGAGAGGUGAGUGGAAUUCCAAGUGUAGAGGUGAAAUUCGUAGAUAUUUGGAGGAACACCAGUGGCGAAGGCGGCUCACUGGCUCGAUACUGACGCUGAGGUGCGAAAGCGUGGGGAGCAAACAGGAUUAGAAACCCUAGUAGUCC